rnacentral:rRNA from 1 species
GACGAACGCUGGCGGCGUGCUUAACACAUGCAAGUCGAACGGAAAGGCCUGCUUUCCCUUGUGGAUUGCGGGUACUCGAGUGGCGAACGGGUGAGUAACACGUGAGUGAUCUGCCCCCAACUUGGGUAUAAGCCUGGGAAACUGGGUCUAAUUCCCGAUAGGACUGCAGGGUGGUGCCUGUGGUGGAAAACGAUUUUCUAGUGGUUGGGGAUGAGCUCGCGGCCUAUCAGCUUGUUGGUGGGGUAAUGGCCUACCAAGGCGGCGACGGGUAGCCGGCCUGGGGGGGUGGACGGCCACAUGGGGACUGGGAUACGGCCCGGACGCCUACGGGGGGCAGCAGUGGGGAGUAGGGCACAAGGGGCGGAAGCCUGAGGAAGCGACGCCGGGUGGGGGAUGACGGCCUUCGGGUUGUAAACUCCUUUCGACCGCGAGGAAGCCACCUGGUUGGAAGGGUGGUGACGGUAGUGGUAGAAGAAGCACCGGCUAACUACGUG